UAGCCGUAAACGAUACUCGCUAGGUGUCGGCCACGGUGCGACCGUUGUCGGUGCCGUAGGGAAGCCGUGAAGCGAGCCACCUGGGAAGUACGGCCGCAAGGCUGAAAACUUAAAGGAAUUGGCGGGGGAGCACCACAACGGGUGGAGCUUGCGGUUUAAUUGGAUUCAACGCCGGAAAUCUUACCGGGACCGACAGCAACAUGAAGGCCAGGCUGAAGACUUUGCCGGAUUAGCUGAGAGUGGUGCAUGGCGUAGUCGUGU
rnacentral:rRNA from 1 species